rnacentral:lncRNA from 1 species
GAGACAUCCGUGGCAGGUGCAGCACAGACUAAGUAGCAGUGAAAAGGAAGAAAAAAAGAAGACAGUGCCUACUUUCUGAGACAUUUCCAAAUAUCAGUGUGAAAAAGACUACCAGAGGUCAGCAGAACAGAAGAGUUUCUUCCUGCUGAAGGAUUCAUUAUAGAAGAGAAUAAAUGAUUAUCAAGAGGACUGAAAGCAAACUGUCUAUUCUACUGGUUGCCGAGUAUCAAAUAUCAUGGAUGGUCUGGCUUUUGGGAAGGUAGAAAUCUUUCCACAAAGGAGUUUCCAAUAGCUUUCUGUGCUUAUUACGAUGCUAAACAUUGACCCAAAGAAAAUAAGCACUCACUAAAAUUUUACUCUUUUAAAGUAAUCUAAGCAUUUUGUUGCUUCUUGUUAAUUAAAUGUCUUAUAUCCAUGCAUUGUGUUUGCUUGUUUUCUAUAGCCUACUAUUUAUACAUUUAUACUCAUUCCAAUGGACCCAGCUUCUUUGGAUUCACAUUUUACACAGUUUGAUACCGU